AGUGAACGCUGGCGGUAGGCCUAACACAUGCAAGUCGAACGGCAGCACAGUAAGAGCUUGCUCUUACGGGUGGCGAGUGGCGGACGGGUGAGGAAUACAUCGGAAUCUACUUUUUCGUGGGGGAUAACGUAGGGAAACUUACGCUAAUACCGCAUACGACCUACGGGUGAAAGCAGGGGAUCUUCGGACCUUGCGCGAUUGAAUGAGCCGAUGUCGGAUUAGCUAGUUGGCGGGGUAAAGGCCCACCAAGGCGACGAUCCGUAGCUGGCCUGAGAGGAUGAUCAGCCACACUGGAACUGAGACACGGUCCAGACUCCUACGGGAGGCAGCAGUGGGGAAUAUUGGACAGUGGGCGCAAGCCUGAUCCAGCCAUACCGCGUGGGUGAAGAAGGCCUUCGGGUUGUAAAGCCCUUUUGUUGGGAAAGAAAAGCAGCAGGUUAAUACCCCGCUGUUCUGACGGUACCCAAAGAAUAAGCACCGGCUAACUUCGUG
rnacentral:rRNA from 1 species